GUCUGUUACUUUCCACUCAGUGGUAAGUUGUAAAACUCCAGGCCAUUGACUAGGGUUGGUCCUCAGAGUGUCACUGCAUGACUGCCUCUGUUUAUUCUACCUUUGGGAGACCUUUAACAGCUUCUAGAUCUUGGCUAUUUAAGCUUUUGGCUCUUUUCUGUUUCCAUCCUGCUGUCAUGAAUAUUUAGAGACUCAUCAUUAAUAAUAAUGUUUGCUGUCAGAUUCUGGCCGACCGACUCCUUUCAUCAGAAUCAGUUCAUGCAGAGUUCACCACAGGGCUGGCGAGAUGGUGCAACCAGAGAAGGUGCUAGCUUCUCCUUGACCUAAGCCUGACAACCUGAGCCAAAUCUGAGGAAUCACACAGAGUUGUCCUCUGACCUUCCCGUGGGCACUGGAGCAGGUGCCCCCACACAUGCAUACAAGAAUAACAAGAAUAAUUUUUUAAAACCGACAUCAAGUUUUUUUUUUUUUAAGAAAAGGUUUUUUUCCCCAAUAAAAACUGAUAGGAUGGGUUGAUUUCUAUUGUUGCUUGCUUCGUAGCUUUAAAAAGUCAUAUUACUGAGUCAUGCUUAGUCACUCAUUCAGAGCCUCGUUAAGCUAAUUAGAUACAA
ensembl:lncRNA